CAGAGUUCAUGCCCUCCGGGGCAGACCUCCCACCCUGUAUAAUUUACUCUUGUUGCUUUGGCAGGCCGCCUUCGGGCCCCCGGCUCUUUGCUGGGGAGCGCCUGCCAGAGGACCCCAACUCUUGUGUUUAGUGUCGUCUGAGUACUAUAUAAUAAGUUA
rnacentral:misc_RNA from 1 species